GCAUUGGUUGUUCAGUGGUAGAAUUCUCGCCUGCCACGCGGGAGGCCUGGGUUCGAUUCCCGGCCAAUGCA
rnacentral:tRNA from 1 species